rnacentral:rRNA from 1 species
AGUGAACGCUGGCGGUAGGCCUAACACAUGCAAGUCGAACGGCAGCACAGGAGAGCUUGCUCUCUGGGUGGCGAGUGGCGGACGGGUGAGGAAUACAUCGGAAUCUACUCUGUCGUGGGGGAUAACGUAGGGAAACUUACGCUAAUACCGCAUACGACCUACGGGUGAAAGCAGGGGAUCUUCGGACCUUGCGCGAUUGAAUGAGCCGAUGUCGGAUUAGCUAGUUGGCGGGGUAAAGGCCCACCAAGGCGAUGAUCCGUAGCUGGUCUGAGAGGAUGAUCAGCCACACUGGAACUGAGACACGGUCCAGACUCCUACGGGAGGCAGCGGUGGGGAAUAUUGGACAAUGGGCGCAAGCCUGAUCCAGCCAUACCGCGUGGGUGAAGAAGGCCUUCGGGUUGUAAAGCCCUUUUGUUGGGAAAGAAAUCCAGCUGGCUAAUACCCGGUUGGGAUGACGGUACCCAAAGAAUAAGCACCGGCUAACUUCGUGCCAGCAGCCGCCGUAA